UCAAACUUGGUCAUUUAGAGGAAGUAAAAGUCGUAACAAGGUUUCCGUAGGUGAACCUGCGGAAGGAUCAUUAACGAGACAACUGCCCUUUGGGUAGAUCUCCCACCCUUUGUUUAAAUUACCUUUGUUGCUUUGGCAGGCCCGUCUUCUGACCACCGGCUUAAGCUGGUCCGUGCCUGCCAGAGGACCUUAAACUCUUGAUUUCAAGUUGUCCGAGUCUUAUAUAAUAGUAAAAACUUUCAACAACGGAUCUCUUGGUUCUGGCAUCAAUGAAGAACGCAGC
rnacentral:misc_RNA from 1 species